AUUUGAAAUCUGCGCUCACGCCCGAGUUGUAAUUUGUAGAGGAUGUUUCGGGUGAAGCCACGGUCCAAGUCCCUUGGAACAGGACGUCAGAGAGGGUGAGAACCCCGUACCUGGCCGUCGGUGCCCCCCGCUGUGAAACUCCUUCGACGAGUCGAGUUGUUUGGGAAUGCAGCUCUAAAUUGGUGGUAAAUUCCAUCUAAAGCUAAAUACCGGCCAGAGACCGAUAGCGCACAAGUAGAGUGAUCGAAAGAUGAAAAGCACUUUGAAAAGAGAGUUAAAAAGUACGUGAAAUUGUUGAAAGGGAAGCGCUUGCGGCCAGACUUGCCCGCGGUUGCUCAACCCGCCUUUUGGCGGGUGCACUCUUCCGCGGUCAGGCAGGGCAUCGGUUUGGGCGGUCGGAUAAAGACGCCGGGAACGUAGCCUCCUCUCGGGGAGGUGUUAUAGCCCGGCGUGCAAUGCGGCCAGCCCGGACCGAGGUUCGCGCUUUGCUAGGAUGCUGGCGUAAUGGCCGUAAGCGGCCCGUCUUG
rnacentral:rRNA from 1 species